rnacentral:rRNA from 1 species
UACGUAGGGCGCAAGCGUUGUCCGGAAUUAUUGGGCGUAUAGAGCUCGUAGGCGGCUUGUCACGUCGGGUGUGAAAGCCCGGGGCUUAACCCCGGGUCUGCAUUCGAUACGGGCUAGCUAGAGUGUGGUAGGGGAGAUCGGAAUUCCUGGUGUAGCGGUGAAAUGCGCAGAUAUCAGGAGGAACACCGGUGGCGAAGGCGGGUCUCUGGGCCGAUACUGACGCUGAGGAGCGAAAGCGUGGGGAGCGAACAGG